rnacentral:rRNA from 1 species
GGACAGAUGGGAGCUUGCUCCCUGAUGUUAGCGGCGGACGGGUGAGUAACACGUGGGUAACCUGCCUGUAAGACUGGGAUAACUCCGGGAAACCGGGGCUAAUACCGGAUGCUUGUUUGAACCGCAUGGUUCAAACAUAAAAGGUGGCUUCGGCUACCACUUACAGAUGGACCCGCGGCGCAUUAGCUAGUUGGUGAGGUAAUGGCUCACCAAGGCAACGAUGCGUAGCCGACCUGAGAGGGUGAUCGGCCACACUGGGACUGAGACACGGCCCAGACUCCUACGGGAGGCAGCAGUAGGGAAUCUUCCGCAAUGGACGAAAGUCUGACGGAGCAACGCCGCGUGAGUGAUGAAGGUUUUCGGAUCGUAAAGCUCUGUUGUUAGGGAAGAACAAGUGCCGUUCAAAUAGGGCGGCACCUUGACG